UUUAUUUCUUCAACUAGUUUUCCAGUAAUUUGAGAAACCUAUUAAUCUACAUGACAACUCAAAGAAUGACUUCAGGAGAUUAGGAAAAAAGCAAAAAAGAAGGCAGUGGGGAAUAUUUGGCUGGGUUCUGGUGGCUCAUUCCUGUAAUCACAGCCCUAGGGGAGGCCAAGGCAGGCGCAUCACUUGAAGUCAGGAGUUCGAGAACAGACUGGCCAAUUUGGUGAAACCCAGUCACGACUAAAAAUACAAAAAAUUUAGUUGGGCGUCGUGACCCACGCCUCUAAUCCCAGGUACUCGGGAGGCUGAAGCAGGAGGACCACAUGAACUCAGGAAGCAAGGGUUGCAGCGAGCUGACGUCACGACAUAGCAUUCCAGCCUGGGUGACAGAAUGAGACUCAGUCUCAAAAAAAAGAAUGAUACCAGGGGAAAAUGGUAGGAAGGGGGAGAAAGAUAAGAGACUACAAAUUGGAUUCCGUGUGCACUGCUUGGGUGAUUGGUUCACCAAAAUCUCACAAAUCUCCACUAAAGGAGUUAAUAACUAAAUACUACCUGUUUGCCAAAAAUUUAUGAAAAGAAAAAUUAAAAAUUUUUUUAAAUUGUGACAAUUGAGUGUCGUACUUUCAAGUUACAAAGGCACAUCUAUCAUGAGGCUUAAUUAUUCUAAUGUUUAAAGAAAUGAAAAGAACAACCAGAGUUUAAAUAGAAAAGCUGUCAGCAUUUCAUCUACAGCAAUGAAAUCUGUAGCAUUCAUUUUGUAUUUUGAAACUUAGUUUUCAGCCAGCCUAGGGGAAGAAGAGGAGGAAACAGAACUGGGCAUUGGGGUAGGUAGGAGGAAAGUAAGAAACCGGCUGGAAACAGCAGGGAAAGAAGAAGGGAUCAGGACUCGAGGCAGAGCCAGUCCUCCUGGUUGGGCCCUGGGCCAUGAGGCGACACUGCACUAGCAUCCCGCAACCCG
rnacentral:lncRNA from 10 species